CAGCCGCCACGGUAAUACGAGGGGGGCAAGCGUUGUUCGGAAUUAUUGGGCGUAAGGGAGCGUAGGCGGUUCAGCAAGUCUCGUGUGAAAUCUUCGGGCUCAACCCGAAGUCUGCACGGGAAACUACUGGGCUUGAGUAAUGGAGAGGUGAGUGGAAUUUCCGGUGUAGCGGUGUAAUGCGUAGAUAUCGGAAGGAACACCUGUGGCGAAAGCGGCUCACUGGACAUUUACUGACGCUGAUGCACGAAAGCUAGGGGAGCAAAUGGGAUUAGAUACCCCCGUAGUCCCUGUCUCUUAUACA
rnacentral:rRNA from 1 species